UUGCACGGUGCACCCCGGGCUUCUCUGAGUUUUGAAGUGACGAAGAAUGCCCCAAUGCUCGUGCUAUAACGUCGCCGUUUUAGUGUUGCAGUUUUGCCUUGUACCUCUUUCCCACGGCUCAUCUGUGUCAAAUCAACGGCCAAAUCU